rnacentral:rRNA from 1 species
UUGAACUCAGAUCAUGUAAGAUUCCAAAGGUCGAACAGACCCAAUCCUGGAACUUCUGCACCCCAGGUUACUCUUAAUCCAACAUCGAGGUCGCAACCUUUUUUGUCGAUAUGAACUCUCAAAGAAAAAUUACGCUGUUAUCCCUAAGGUAUUUUCUUCUUUUUUCCAACCAGGUUGGAUCCUUCGUUUACAUAUUUGUAUUGCCUUUAAAGAAAAGCUAAAUCUCUUUUCCUGUCGCCCCAACCAAAAUACCUUUCAAUCUCUUAAAGAUUAAUUUUCCCUCCCAAGAAAUUGGGUCUGUAGUGAAAAUCUAUAGGGUCUUCUCGUCUUUUAAACUUAUUUUUGCUUUUUUACAAAAAAAUAAAAUUCAACUCUUUUUCUCGGAGACAGCUUAAACCUCAUUGAAUCGUUCAUUCCAGCCAUCAAUUAAAAGACUAUUGAUUAUGCUACCUUCGCACGGUCAGAAUACCGCGGCUCUUUAAAAUUGAAUCAGGGAGCAGACCUUACCUUUUAUACGUCCCAAAGGGCAAUGUUUUUGUUAAA